GGCCCGCCAAUGAACCCGCAAGCGCUCGUUCCUGCGUACUGAAUCUAAAAUCGCUAUGCUGCAGUCGGUGUAUCGGCGCGCCGAGACGAGACGGACGGGACGAGACGAGCGACGGCAGCGACGAGGAGGUGGAGGAAGAGGCGGUGGAAGUCGGUGUGUGCGCUCAUGACGGAGACCUCGUGCGUACCACUCAGUCGCGUCGUCGAGCGGAGCCGAGUCGAGUCGUGUUACGGCCGCAAUCGUGGUUGUUCUUCGCAACAGUUUGCCCCGUGACGACGUCAGUAUCUGUGCGCGAAGACAAAAACGUCCACCAGUAGAAGAAUUUGAAACAGUUUGAAGUCGAAGUGUAACGUCGCGGUGAGACUCUGAAUUUGAUUUUUUCCCUUUGCUGCAUCAAUUAACUUUUUUUUACCGUACCGAAAGUUUUAAACGUGCAACCGAAGCGCUACUCUCGUUCGACCUCUCUCGCCCUCCGCGAGUUAUAUAUCCGAUCUACGUGCGCUAGCCCUCCCUACUCUCUUUUUCUUCAUGUGUAUUUUGCUCUCUCCUCUGUCUGUCUGUCUUGCUCACGCGUUAUCCCUCCCCGUUGGUGUCUCACUCGUUCUCGCUGGCUUUCCGGGCAGCGAUUUCAAGAAUGUGACAGUGCGCGUCCUCGCGGUCGCCUCGCGCGAAUAAGCCCGCAGGCCGGCGACGGCGAUGGGUGACGAGCGACAAGUGUUACGGUGAACAGUGUGAGCAACAGUGAAGAAGUAGACGGGAGAGAAAGACGGACGAUGCAAGCGGAAAAUGUCACUCGGUGAUACGCGUAUACGGAUGACGGGGAGUGAUCGACGCGACAAUCUCGGAUUUGAGGUUAAAGUGUCGUCGUCGUCGUCGUUGUUGUUAUGUGGUGCCGGUGCGCCGGCAUUGGCGACGGCACGAGCAAAGGAAUAUCAAGAAAGAAAACGACACUAUCGUAUUCUACAGGGCUUAACCGCCCGAGAUUCGAGGGACAUUGAUCAACCGUCCUGGCCUAACGUUACCAGACUCGUCUCGUAAGAGAAACGUAAACGACCAGAGAAAAAAGUCAGAGAGAGGGAGAGAGAGAGAGAGAGAGAGAUUCGCAGCGAUAGAAAACAAUUUUUCGUAAGGCGAAUCGCGCCGAUAUACGUAUUAUAUACGUGCGCGUGUGUGUGUUUGUGGUUGAGUGCCGGGUCGCGAGGUUAAGACACCACAUCGCUGUCGAUAUACACAUCGUGGAAAGUCAAGAACCGGUGUCGUGUGUGCGCGCGCGACCGAUUCGUGCUCUGCUACGGCCAACGGAUAAGAAGUGUAUCAUGAUACUAAUAGUGCGCGUCCGUAACCCCGCUGGCGACCGUUGCACCGUGUACGUCUCUUAGGACAACGAAAGCUGACAACGUUCGCGAACUGUCGAGACAGCACAGGAAUCUCUCGUGCCUUUUUUCGCUUAUAUACCGUACGCCACGUUCUUUCGUCGUUGAACAAAUUAUCGAGUAUCUUUCGUCUAUCGAGGGCGAUAAUACGAUUUGACCACUAAAACACGACACGCAGAUUUUCUCUAGUGUCCUCGCUAAAGUGUCAUUUACUAGCGAACGACGUAAAUAACGUGGUAACAUUCGAGUAACGAAACAAUAACAACGGGGCGUGUAUAACAGAAUCGUUCGAAGGAGAGUAUCGCGAGAAUGAAGUGGCGCUUCAGCUGAUCGAGAUCGUCGCAACGAAUUGGCGUGUGCUCGCGUACAUGUAAACGGAUCGCGCGCGCGCACGCUGUUCGCGUCACCAAUCAGCCGGCCAGUUUGUGUAUACAUACCGUGGCACAUAGGUAAAUGAGAGUUCAAGGUCGGUAAACGGUAUUCGACCUAACCUCGUUUACUGGUUCGAAAAAGUUAUCGACACGAAGAGGAAGAGACUGAAGCUGCUAUCCUUCGUUAUUCUACUUCGACCUACCUUGUUGCUUGCCACGCGCUAUUCUCGAUUGAUAAUAUUAAUUUU